UACGAAGGGUGCAAGCGCUACUCGGAAUUACUGGGCGUAAAGCGUGCGUAGGUGGUUUGUUAAGUCUGAUGUGAAAGCCCUGGGCUCAACCUGGGAAUUGCAUUGGAUACUGGCAGUCUAGAGUGCGGUAGAGGGUAGCGGAAUUCCCGGUGUAGCAGUGAAAUGCGUAGAUAUCGGGAGGAACAUCCGUGGCGAAGGCGGCUACCUGGACCAGCACUGACACUGAGGCACGAAAGCGUGGGGAGCAAACAGG
rnacentral:rRNA from 1 species